AUCUUUGUAAAAGAUUUUGGUCUAUUUUUUUAAUAAAAAAUAGUUAAAAGGGAAUCAGGUUAAAAUCCUGAACAGACCCGCUACUGUAAGUUCUAUAAAAGUCUUUAAAAUAUACAAACAACCACUGUUUGCCAAGCAAAUGGGAAGGUUUUUAAAGAUAGAAUAAGUCAGGAGACCUGCCACAAUCACAUAGUUUGA
rnacentral:ncRNA from 1 species